AUUGAACGCUAGCGGGAUGCUUUACACAUGCAAGUCGAACGGAGUGGCGGACGGGUGAGUAAUAUAUCGGAACGUGCCCAGUAGCGGGGGAUAACUACUCGAAAGCGUGGCUAAUACUGCAUACUCUUCGAUCGGCCGAUAUUGGAUUAGCUAGCUGGUGGGGUAAAGGCUCACCAAGGCAACGCUCCGUAGCUGGUUUGAGAGGACGACCAGCCACACUGGGACUGAGACACGGCCCAGACUCCUACGGGAGGCAGCAGUGGGGAAUUUUGGACAAUGGAGGAAACCCUGAUCCAGCCAUCCCGCGUGUAUGAUGAAGGCCUUCGGGUUGUAAAGUACUUUUGGCAGAGAAGCGGUAUCUGCAGAAUAAGCACCGGCUAACUACGUGCCAGCAGCCGCGGUAAUUC
rnacentral:rRNA from 1 species